GUCCAAGUAAUUUAACCAAAAUACUGGCCUUGUAAGCCAGCAAUGAAGGAUAAACCCUUCCUAGGACA
rnacentral:tRNA from 1 species